rnacentral:rRNA from 1 species
CCUACGGGUGGCAGCAGUGAGGAAUAUUGGUCAAUGGGCGGAAGCCUGAACCAGCCAAGUCGCGUGGGUGAAGAAGCGCCUCGGCGCGUAAAGCCCUGUCAGCAGGGAAGAAAAUGACGGUACCUGAAGAAGAAGCCCCGGCUAACUACGUGCCAGCAGCCGCGGUAAUACGUAGGGUGCGAGCGUUAAUCGGAAUUACUGGGCGUAAGGGGUGUGCAGGCGGUUUUGCAAGAUGGAUGUGAAAGCCCCGGGCUUAACCUGGGAAAGCCAUACAUGACUGCAAGACUAGAGUGCGUCAGAGGGGGGUGGAAUUCCAAGUGUAGCAGUGAAAUGCGUAGAUAUUUGGAAGAACACCGAUGGCGAAGGCAGCCCCCUGGGACGCAACUGACGCUCAUACACGAAAGCGUGGGGAGCAAACAGGAUUAGAUACCCUUGUAGUC